rnacentral:rRNA from 1 species
GAUGAACGCUGGCGGCGUGCCUAAUACAUGCAAGUCGAGCGGUAAGGCCCCUUCGGGGGUACACGAGCGGCGGACGGCUGAGUAACGCGUAGGAACAUACCCCAAACUGAGGGAUAACUGCUCGAAAGAGUAGCUAAUACCGCAUGUGCUCUUCGGAGUAAAGCUACGGCGGUUUGGGAAUGGCCUGCGUAUGAUUAGCUAGUUGGUGAGGUAAUAGCUCACCAAGGCGACGAUCAUUAGCUGGUCUGAGAGGAUGAUCAGCCAGACUGGGACUGAGACACGGCCCAGACUCCUACGGGAGGCAGCAGUAGGGAAUUUUCCACAAUGGGCGCAAGCCUGAUGGAGCAACGCCGCGUGCAGGAUGAAGGCCU